rnacentral:lncRNA from 1 species
AAGGGGGAGAUUGUUAAAAACUUUUCUAAGUUGGCGGAUUUCGUGAAGUCGAAUGAAGUCUUGAAAAGUUGAAGACGAAGAUUUGAACGAAGAAUGUGUGAUUCAAAAUCAAAAGACUCGUUCGUGAUGCUCGAUAUCUCAUGUAUGUGUGUUAAUAAUUUGUGGUGAAAAAUUCUAUACAUUUAAUAGUGUUUGGAAGACUUAUAUAGUUUUUAAAU